rnacentral:rRNA from 1 species
GACGAACGCUGGCGGCGUGCCUAAUACAUGCAAGUCGAGCGGUGACGGUUGGUACUUGUACCAACUGGAUGAGAAGCGAACGGGUGAGUAACGCGUGGGGAAUGUGCCUGUGAGCGGGGGACAACAUUUGGAAACGAAUGCUAAUACCGCAUAAGAACUUUAAACACAAGUUUUAAGGUUGAAAGAUGCAAUUGCAUCACUCAAAGGUGAACCCGCGUUGUAUUUGCUAGGUGGUGAGGGAAAGGCUCACCAAGGCGAUGAUACAUAGCCGACCUGCGAGGGUGGUCGGCCACAUUUGGACUGCGACACGGCCCAAACUCCUUCCGGGAGCAGCCGUAGGGAAUCUUCGGCCAUUGGCGGAAGUCUUGCCGCACCACGCCGCGGUAGUGGAGAAGGUUUUCGGGUCUUUAAACUCCGUUUGUAGGGAAGAACGCGGGUGUGAGUGGAAAGCGCAGCAAGUGACGGUACCGACCCAAAAAGCGCCGGCUAACUACGUG